rnacentral:rRNA from 1 species
ACGGGGGGAGCAAGCGUUGUUCGGAAUCACUGGGCGUAAAGGGCGUGUAGGCGGUCAGGUAAGUGGGAUGUGAAAUCCCUCGGCUCACCCGAGGACCUGCAUCCCAAACUGCUUGGCUUGAGUAUGGGAGAGGAUGAGGGAAUUCCUGGUGUAGCGGUGAAAUGCGUAGAUAUCAGGAGGAACACCGGUGGCGAAAGCGCUCAUCUGGCCCAAUACUGACGCUGAGGCGCGAAAGCUAGGGGAGCAAACGGGAUUAGAUACCCCGGUAGUCCUAGCCGUAAACGGUGAUCACUAGGUGUUGGAGGCAUCGACCCCUCCAGUGCCGCAGCUAACGCAUUAAGUGAUCCGCCUGGGGAGUACGGCCGCAAGGUUG